AUUCCAGCUCCAAUAGCGUAUAUUAAAGUUGUUGCAGUUAAAAAGCUCGUAGUUGGAUUUCUGGUUGGAGCGACCGGUCGGGCAUUGAUUUGUCUGCACUGGAGUCGGUUCUGGCCAUCCUCUUGGAAAGUGCGUCUGUCAUUAAGUUGUCGGGCGUAUGAUCCAGGUCUUUUACUGUGAAAAAAUUAGAGUGUUUAAAGCAGGCCUUCGCCUUGAAUACAUUAGCAUGGAAUAAUAAGAUAGGACUUUGGUCUAUUUUGUUGGUUUGCAGACCGAAGUAAUGAUUAAUAGGGAUAGUUGGGGGUAUUUAUAUUCCAAUGUCAGAGGUGAAAUUCUUAGAUUUUUGGAAGAUAAACUUAUGCGAAAGCAUUUACCAAGGAUGUUUUCAUCA
rnacentral:rRNA from 1 species